UACGUAGGGACCAAGCGUUGUCCGGAAUUAUUGGGCGUAAAGAGCUCGUAGGCGGCUGUCCACGUCGGAUGUGAAAGCUCGGGGCUCAACCCUGAGAGGCCAUUCGAUGACGGGACGGCUAGAGGUAGGUAGGGGAGAUUGGAAUUCCUGGUGUAGCGGUGAAAUGCGCAGAUAUCAGGAGGAACACCUGCGGUGUAGACGGCUUUCUGGACCAUAACUGACGCUGAGAUACGAAAGCGUGGGUAGCAAACAGG
rnacentral:rRNA from 1 species